UUUUAUGAGAGUUUGAUCCUGGCUCAGGACGAACGCUGGCGGCGUGCCUAAUACAUGCAAGUCGAACGCUUCUUUUUCCACCGGAGCUUGCUCCACCGGAAAAAGAGGAGUGGCGAACGGGUGAGUAACACGUGGGUAACCUGCCCAUCAGAAGGGGAUAACACUUGGAAACAGGUGCUAAUACCGUAUAACAAUCGAAACCGCAUGGUUUUGAUUUGAAAGGCGCUUUCGGGUGUCGCUGAUGGAUGGACCCGCGGUGCAUUAGCUAGUUGGUGAGGUAACGGCUCACCAAGGCCACGAUGCAUAGCCGACCUGAGAGGGUGAUCGGCCACAUUGGGACUGAGACACGGCCCAAACUCCUACGGGAGGCAGCAGUAGGGAAGCUUCGGCACUGGACGAAAGUCUGACCGAGCAWSKCCGMGUGAGUGAAGAAGGUWYKCGGRWYGKAAAACUCUGKUKUUAKSGAWRUACAAGGKUGAGMGUAACUGKUCAUCCCUUGACGGUAUCUAACCAGAAAGCCACGGCUAACUACGUGCCAGCAGCCGCGGUAAUACGUAGGKGGCAAGCGUUGUCCGGAUUUAUUKGGCGUAAAGCGAGCGCAAGCGGUUUCUUAAGUCUGAUGUGAAAGCCCCCGGCUCAACCGGGGAGGGUCAUUGGAAACUGGGAGACUUGAGUGCAGAAGAGGAGAGUGGAAUUCCAUGUGUAGCGG
rnacentral:rRNA from 1 species